rnacentral:rRNA from 1 species
CACGUAGGGUGCGAGCGUUGUCCGGAAUUAUUGGGCGUAAAGGGCUCGUAGGCGGUUUGUCGCGUCGGGAGUGAAAUCCACUGGCUUAACUGGUGGCUUGCUUUCGAUACGGGCAGACUGGAGGUAUGCAGGGGAGAACGGAAUUCCUGGUGUAGCGGUGAAAUGCGCAGAUAUCAGGAGGAACACCGGUGGCGAAGGCGGGUCUCUGGGCCGAUACUGACGCUGAGGAGCGAAAGCGUGGGGAGCGAACAGG